UCUCUCUCUGCUUCGUAGUUCGAACCUCCGAAUGCUCGCUGCAAGCGGCGAAUGGCCGCGUCGCGCUGCGCAGCGCGACGGGCACUGGCGCUGGCGGCGGCGGCGGCGGAGGCGUUGGAGCGCGCGUGCUGCUCCUCGGACGCCGCCGCGGUCGUCUCCGGGAACAACAGGCUGAUGGCGGAGCACCUGAGAGCCGGCAGGCUGGAGGCCGCGCGGGAGGUGUUCGACGGAAUGCCGCGGAGGGACGUCGUGUCCUGGAACACCAUCAUGGCCGUGCAGGCGCGGGCGGGCUCGCACGGGAGGGCCGUGGGGGCGUUCUUGGAGAUGAGGCGCCAGGGGUUCCGGCCGGACCAUACCUCAUUCUCCACCGCGUUGUCGGCCUGCGCGCGCUUGGAGGCUCUGGAGAUGGGGAGGUGCGUCCAUGGGCUUGUGUUCAAGUCCUGCUCCUCUGGUAAUGUGUUUGUGGGUGCUUCGCUUAUCACGAUGUAUGCCAACUGUGGGGUGGUCAGCUGCCUGGAGCAAGUGCUGGAUGGUGUUGAGAGUCCAAAUGUGGCCUUGUGGAACGCGCUUAUAUCAGGCCUUGUGAUGAACCAUCGUGUAGGCUAUGCUCGCAAGGCUUUUGAUCGGAUGCCAGUGCGUAAUGUGGUGUCCUGGACUGCCAUGAUAAAAGGGCACUUUACAGCGCAUGAGGUCGACAUGGCGUUUCAGCUGUUUAAAUUGAUGCCGGUGAAGAACUCUGUGUCGUGGUGCGUCAUGAUUGGAGGUUUUGUUACGCAUGAGAAAUUCAGUGAAGCAGUUGAAUUGUUUAAUAGCUUGAUGAUGAAUGGGGAGGAAGUGACAAAUGUGAUCCUAGUUAAAAUAGUGAAUGCUUUUGCUGGCAUGAAAAGUAUUAGAGGAGGCAGAUGCAUUCAUGGAUUGGCUGUGAAGUCUGGUUUUGCUUACGACCUUGUUCUUGAGGCUUCCUUGGUUUUGAUGUACUGCAAAUCGUUGGACAUCACUGAAGCACGACUGGAGUUUGAUAAAAUGGAAGGAAAUCAUGUUGGUUCAUGGAAUGCCAUGUUAUGCGGCUAUAUUUAUUCGGAUAAGAUAGAUGAGGCCCGGAAACUUUUUGAUUCCAUGAAUAACCGAGAUAAAAUCUCAUGGAACUCAAUGAUUAAUGGCUAUAUAAAUGAUGGAAGGAUUGCUGAUGCUACUGAGUUGUACUCAAAGAUGACUGAAAAGAGUUUGGAAGCAGCUACUGCUUUGAUGUCAUGGUUUAUAGAUAAUGGAAUGCUUGACAAAGCACGGGAUAUGUUUUAUAAUAUGCCCCAAAUAGAUGUUAUGUCUUGCACAACUUUGCUGUUUGGAUAUGUGAAAGGAGGGCAUAUGGAUGACGCGCUGGACCUUUUCCACAUGAUGCAAAAAAGGACUGUUGUCACCUAUAAUGUGAUGAUAUCCGGUUUGUUCCAUCAAGGUAAAAUUACUGAAGCAUAUAAGCUCUUUAAUGAAUCUCCAACACGUGAUUCAGUGACUUGGAGCUGUUUAGUUGCUGGGCUCGCUACAAAUGGUUUAAUCCAUGAAGCACUUCAGUUCUACAAAAAGAUGCUACUGUCUAAUAUACGACCUAGCGAGUCAGUUGUUUCUAGCCUCAUAAGCUGUUUGUCAAAUUAUUCUAUGAUGGUUCAUGGCCAGCAGUUUCAUGCUACAACCAUUAAGAUUGGACUCGAUUCCCACUUGCUAAUCCAAAAUUCACUCAUUAGCCUGUAUUGCAAAUGUGGCGAAAUGAUUAUAGCUCAAAGUAUUUUUGACCUGAUGGCUAAGAGAGAUAAAGUAACAUGGAACACGAUCAUUCAUGGAUAUGCACUCAAUAAUCUUGGUCAAAAUGCUGUUGAAAUGUUUGAGAGUAUGACAAAGGCACAAGUUGAUCCUGAUGACAUCACAUUUCUUGGUGUACUUUCCGCAUGUAAUCACAUGAGCCUUUUGGAGGAAGCUAAAUAUUUCUUCAAUGCGAUGACAUGUACUUAUGGAAUUUUACCUAAUAUUAUGCACUAUGCUUGCAUGGUUGAUCUCUUUUGUAGAAAAUGCAUGAUUAAGGAGGCUGAAGGAUUAGUGAAGUCGAUGCCAUUUGAACCUGAUUCAGCAAUAUGGACUUCUCUAUUGAGCGGUUGCAGAUUGACUGGCAAUGAUAAGUUAGCAGAGCAUGCGGCGAGUCAAUUAAUUGCCAUUGAUCCUUGUACUAAAAUGCCUUAUCUGCAUCUCAUCAGUGUGCAUGGAUUAACCAAUAAAUCGACUGUGAUUGAUAGUUUGAGAAGUCAAAUUAAAAGCACUGCCACUGAAAAGGAUGUUGGCUAUAGCUGGAUUUAGCAUCCCAUUUUGAUUUGCAGAUGUGUACUACAGCAAUGGGAUUUGAUCAUUUAUGCAGAAAACUUCCAACAAGCAGUGUCAUUCAGAUUGUUUAUGAGCUGGUUGACCCAGGUUUAUUUAUGAGGGAUAGAAUAGAACAAGCAUGAAAGAUGAAUGAAAUGCAUCUGUCGACUACAACCCAGGUUGCAUAUUCCAACUUAGGACUUCGACAGCAGCAAAAUGGCAUCAAACAAACUGAGGCAUGUAGUUGUCAUGCCUGUUCCAUGGUUGCCUAUUCUGCAACGGAGCUUCUAAAAUCUGAAUACAUCUGCUCACAGUUUGCAAGUAGACUACUCUACAAUCAAGGUUGACUGGUAUGUAUCAGGAAUGUUAAUGGUGAACUCCGCCAUCAGGUUGUACUUGUAGGGUUUGGUCAGCAUGGAGACGUGAAAGUUUUCAGUAAAUGGUGUGGGCAAAUCACGAAUCACCUUGAAAAUGCCAAGACAGUUUCCGAUCAUCUGGCCGCUUCAUUGCAGGUUUUCAAUCCUUCGUCCUCCCUCCCCCCUGUAAAUGCUCUUUUUUUAUUCUUUUUUGUAAAUAUAUUACAUAGGGACCUCCCCUACUGUUCACCGGUAAAUGUAUAAGAUCAUACACACCGAAAUAUGUUUGCAAACAACUAUAAACAAGAUUCCCACA